UAGUCCACGCCGUAAACGAUGAGGAUUAGCUGCUGGGCUUUUAGAGCUUGGUAGCGCAGCUAACGCAUUAAAUCCUCCGCCUGGGGAGUACGGUCGCAAGAUUAAAACUCAAGUGAAUUGACGGGGGCCCGCACAAGCGGUGGAGCAUGUUGUUUAAUUCGAUGCAACGCGAAGAACCUUACCACCCCUUGACAUACUAGGAAUUUUCCAGAGAUGGAUUAGUGCCUUCGGGAACCUAGAUACAGGUGCUGCAUGGCUGUCGUCAGCUCGUGUCGUGAGAUGUUGGGUUAAGUCCCGUAACGAGCGCAACCCUUGCCCUUAUUUGCCAGCGGAUUAUGCCGGGAACUCUAAGGGGACUGACGGUGACAAACCGUAGGAAGGUGGGGACGACGUCAAGUCAUCAUGGCCCUUACGGGGUGGGCUACAAACGUGCUACAAUGGGGAAUACAAAGGGCUGCCAACCAGCAAUGGUGCGCGAAUCCCAAAAAGUUUCUCGUAGUCCGGAUUGGGGUCUGCAACUCGACCCCA
rnacentral:rRNA from 1 species